rnacentral:rRNA from 1 species
GCAAGUCUGGUGCCAGCAGCCGCGGUAAUUCCAGCUCCAAUAGCGUAUAUUAAAGUUGUUGCAGUUAAAAAGCUCGUAGUUGAAUUUCGGGAUCAAUAUUUCGGUCAUGCCGUUGGUAUGCACUGUUAUCAUUGAUUUCUCACCUCCUAAAGAACCGUAAUGCCAUUAAUUUGGUGUUACGGGGAAUUAGGACUGUUACCUUGAAAAAAUUAGAGUGUUUAAAGCAGGCUCACGCUUGAAUACAUUAGCAUGGAAUAAUGAAAUAGGACAUCCGAUUCUAUUUUGUUGGUUUCUAGGAUCGAUGUAAUGAUUAAUAGGGAUAGUUGGGGGCAUUAGUAUUCAAUUGUCAGUGGUGAAAUUCUUGGAUUUAUUGAAGACUAACUACUGCGAAAGCAUUUGCCAAGGAUGUUUUCAUUAAUCAAGAACGAAAGUUAGGGGAUCGAAGACGAUCAGAUACCGUCGUAGUCUUAACCAUAAACUAUGCCGACUAGGGAUCGGAUGAUGUUAAUUUUUUAAUGACUCAUUCGGCGCCUUACGGGAAAC